rnacentral:rRNA from 1 species
GACGUAGGGCGCGAGCGUUGUCCGGAUUUAUUGGGCGUAAAGAGCUCGUAGGCGGCUCGUUGCGUCGGCUGUGAAAACCCGCAGCUCAACUGUGGGCUUGCAGCUGAUACGGGCGGCUGGGAUUCGGUAGGGAGACUGGAAUCCUGGUGUAGCGGUGAAACUGCGCAGAUAUCAGGAGGAACACCGGUGGCGAAGGCGGUUCUCUGGGCAUUACCUGACGCUGAGGAGCGAAAGUGUGGGGAGCGAACAGG